rfam:Ramlibacter sp. Leaf400 contig_3, whole genome shotgun sequence.
CGGGGAAGCGAGCAGACUCCCCGACCCCAAGACGCCACGCGUCCAAGUGCUGC